CCGGGAUGGAGCCAAGACGCCCGUACAGAGGAGGAGGCGAAGUGGGGACAGCAUUUAAGAUCAGCGAGGGAGGGACUCAGCCUGGGAGCCGCCGCAUCCCGGGAGGGACUGGAGCCCAGGCGGAGGAUACCUGCCUCUGAGAAUCUCCCGCCUCCACCACAGAUGUGGCUGCCGAAGCUUCCGGUGAUGCUGCUUCCCA